ensembl:snRNA U2 U2 spliceosomal RNA
AGAGCUUCUCGGCCUUUUGGCUAAGAUCAUGUGUAGUAUCUGUUCUUAUCAGUUUAAUAUCUGAUACGUCCCCCAACCGGGGACCAUAUAUUAAAUUGAUUAUUGAAACAGGGAGAACAGUGCACUCCCC